AUCCAUAACUAUGGAUAACUUUAUUACCUUAGAAUGAGCUAUUUAUAUCUACAUACACGAGGCACCCCUUGCUGUGGAGGUCGACAUAUUGUGUUUCUACUGUAGCCUACAGUGAACAAACAGCGCUUUCGUCACUACCUUGAAAGAGAAGCAACAGAAGAAGCAGCAGAAGAAGUAGAAGCGAAAGCAUGAUGAAGCCAGAUUUAUAACGGGAGCGACGCAGGCAGAAAUCACGGUUAAACAUCGGUGUGGCUUUUCCCAGAUGGAAGAAGGGUCUAAUGAGGGAAAAAUGUUUUCUAAGCGACACCGAAGUUGCCAGUUUUCUGAUGGACAGCUACGAGACAGGUCCUGCAACAUCGACUCCCUUGAAGUGAAAACGUCCCAGAGAAAGUCCCAGCUCCAGCAUUGUCUAGCAUUGGUGCUUCUAGUGUAACAGACCGAGAUGCACAUCUUGAUGUCAUUCCAGAAGCCACAGAAAUUCAGGGCCUUGAACAAAGGUAACAUGUACACAUCAUAACUUUUAGCCCUGUAUUGCUUUUGUCCAAAUGUUCAUAAUAUAUAUUUGUAAUAUGUUUUUUGCAGCUUACAUGACAUGAGCCUUGUUGAGGAGGACUUGGAGGAAAAUGUUUUCAAUGACCCAAUGUACAUGUAUUAUUUUCCAGUGAUAUUAGUUGAGAACUUGGUUUUAUUAUGUAAAGAAUUGAUUGGGCAGAUAAAGCUUCAUCUUACUCCCUUGAAAGAGAUGAUGGACAGAAUGGUUUCAGCUCUGAUGAAGAGGAUCUUCCACCGAUUUCUAUACGGUGUGUUAUUUGUCAGUCUCAAUUUGCAGUUGUUUUGUGGUGUUUGUUUACUACAGAUUUUUGUGCCUCAAUAGAAUGGGUGGAGCACUGAAGAAAGCACACUCUAUCGAUAGACUUCCUUGCCUGCACAUGAAGACGCUCCUGAUGAGCCUUCUCCCUGUGAUCAUGACCCUGUUUUCCCAGAACCACAGAAUGUCCUUUGUGAAGAUGACAUCAUAGGUGUCAGAGCCUCCAUAGUGCACAAGAACUGCUUAAGACAACUGGCUACAUUUCUGAUCCUGCCUGUGAAUAAAUGCACUGGCCUUCUGAGGACUGGUGCGCCGUGCAACUCUGUUGCACCCUUUCAGAUCAACAUCACCACCAAGGGCACAGCAGCUACUAUCGAAUGGAUCUGUCCUAAUGGACACAGCUUGUGGAGGUGGAAUUCCCAGCCUGUGACGAAGUUUGGGAUGCAAGCUGGAGAUUUUCUCUUGUCCACCAACAUUUUGUUGUCUGGCAACAACUACACCAAGGUUGCCCUCUUGUUCAAAUUGAUGAACACGGGGAUGGUGAACAGGAACACUUUCUUCUCCAUUCAGGACACUUACUGCGUCAAUACAAUAAAGGACUUCUGGGAAGAGAGAAGGACAGAGGUUCUUUGUUGCCUUCAAGGGAAAGAUGUUGUUGUCCUAGAAAUGACUCUCCUGGUCACUGUGCACAAUACUGCAGCUACACCACCAUGGAGAAUGACACCAAGGAGAUCAUUCAUGUUGUCACCAUAGACAAGCGGCAAAGAUCAUGGAACUGUCGUCAUGGAGAAGGAGGGUUUCAUCCAGACUGGACAAGCUUACAUCAGAAAUAAAGCUAGUGGAGAUCUGCACAGAUGCUCAUGCCCAGAUUGGUGCCCUUAUGAACCCAGACAAAGGCAAAUACAAGGCCCUUGGAAUUCAUCACAGUCUGGACAUAUGGCAUGGUGCGAAGAAUCAGGGUUAUUGAACUAUGUGCAGUUGAUGGAUGACGGCAGCAAAGAUAAAAGGAGAGUCCAUCCUCUUCAACUUGCUGAAGGACAUAGUCAACCAUUUUCGGUGGACUGCUGACACACGUGGGCAGUUUCUUGCAUUAUGGGUUGGCAUCCUUCACCAUGUCUGCAACAUUCACACCUGGACUAUGGGAAGUUGCAAACACGGGCACCUUGAAUCGGAUCAAAUGCGGGGAAAGAUGUGGAUCCAGAGAGACUCCCAGUGCCACAAAGUUUUAGUGGAUAUAGUUCUCAAUAAGAGGUGGCAGAAAGAUGUUCACAACUAUCUGCGAUUCAGAUCGACUGCAGACCUAGAGUCAUUCCAGAAUCAUAUCCUGAUGUAUGCCAGCAAGCGCUAUGCUUUCAGCCAACCAGUUUAUGAGAACAAUGAAAAUGUUGGACGGCAAAGAGAUUUUCAAAAGAUUGUAUAAGAAGAACGCUAGAAGAUACAGCAUAUAUGCCUUGAAAUCUGAAAAAACCUACAGAUACAUUUACGAGUUGUAAAGAAGGAUUGUGAAGAACAGACUCACAAGUGGAGUGGGGAUGCCUAGAAGGAGGAGCCUUCGACCAGAUGACCCCAGACAGCUUGGUUUGGUGCCCCCCGUACCUGCACCAGCCACAUCAGACUUGUUACAGAGACAAAUCAGAAGAGGUCUAGGACCGUUAUUCCAACCAGCAUCUGAUGUGGAAGGAUCCCCACAGGAGAUCACCUUGCAUGUGUCCUGAUUCUCGUCAGGCAGGAUCACGAGGGAAAGAACUUCAGUUCACUGACAAAGUCAUAGCUUUUACUCUUCAAAAAGAGAAAUUUAUUAACAUUAAAUUCUGUUCCUACCCUCC